CACCACCAAUUAUUUUAUCAAGAGAUAAAAUAGAAACAUACAAUGUAUGCAAAAAUAUCUAAACAAAGAAAAUGGGUAAUACAGAUGAAGUGUUGCAACCACCUGCAAUGGCUCCAUAUCUUCCUACACAUCGUUUACAUAACCGACGUUAUGGUAUCGAUGGCAAGAUCAUGGCAGCUGUUGUCAUUACUGUUUUCUCCUGCUUUCUUUUCUUCCUCGUUCUUGCCCCUCGGCUGAUGAGGCUAAGAAGAAGUAGCAGAAAUUCUUCACCAGCUGACCGAAUUUAGGCAACGCGUAAUGAAGGAACUAGAAGCAUGAAAACAUACCAUGAUUUUCACACACUUAACACUCAGAGUCACACAGACAGAUAGAACAGACAGAUUACCAAUUCAUUUGUUCUUCAUAUCCCAUGGUUGUAACUUUUAUGAGAAAACUAAAGUUCCCACCAAGACGGAUGUAAGCGGAACCAUGAGGUUGUCAUCAAACGUAGUGCUUAUAGGAUGGGAUUCAACCAAUGCACUGGCAAUCGAGAUAACCAAAAAGCCGAAGAUCAUUUGCCAACUUUCUUCUAAAUAGCCAAACAUGGAGAAAUAAUGCAUGUACCUGUGAGCAAUAUUCUAUCAGAACUUAUCAAUGCUUAAAAUAAUAGACUUCCAUUCUUUCAGGAAA